GGUCAUGUUCCUUAUCCACGAAAAUCUUGCUUUGGCACAUGAAGGCUUAGUCCUUUCAUUAAUGGGAUAGGGGCAGAAGCUUCCUCUUCAAUUCAGCAAGGGAAGUCAUCUACUCUGCCACGGCAAAAAUCUAAUGCCAAAUUCAAUACGACUUUCUUCCUUAUUAGAGCACUUAUUACAUAACCAGCUCUCCUUCUCUUAAAAGCCAAAACCAACUCUCUUGGGUUAGCUGAUGGAGACCUAAAGCAGCAGCCUCCUUCUACCCCUAAUUCUGUCUUUUAACAAAGAAUUCGAAAGUGGCCAGUCCGGUAAGGAAAGAGAAGUAGCUUACACACCUAUCCCAAAUUGAUUGGGUUAACCAUGGUAGGGCCCGAAGGGCAACCUGUUCUAUCUCCUAUUUCUCGUCAAUGUCAAACCGUAGAAACAACUCAGUAUUUAUGGAUUCUGUGGAUUGAUUCUUUUCCAACAUCCCUUGCAAAAGUAGGAAUCAAUCU
rnacentral:lncRNA from 1 species